CUACUGUGUUAAAUGGUUUAGGUGUAGUAUUGCUGUCUACUGUGAUAGAUGGUUUAGGUGUAGUAUUGCUGUCUACUGUGAUAGAUGGUUUAGGUGUAGUAUUGCUGUCUACUGUGAUAGAUGGUUUAGGUGUAGUAUUGCUGUCUACUGUGAUAGAUGGUUUAGGUGUAGUAUUGCUGUCUACUGUGAUAGAUGGUUUAGGUGUAGUAUUGCUGUCUACUGUGAUAGAUGGUUUAGGUGUAGUAUUGCUGUCUACUGUGAUAGAUGGUUUAGGUGUAGUAUUGCUGUCUACUGUGAUAGAUGGUUUAGGUGUAGUAUUGCUGUCUACUGUGAUAGAUGGUUUAGGUGUAGUAUUACUGUCUACUGUGAUAGAUGGUUUAGGUGUAGUAUUACUGUCUACUGUGAUAGAUGGUUUAGGUGUAGUAUUGCUGUCUACUGUGUUAGAUGGUUUAGGUGUAGUACUGCUGUC